CCUGCCCACCGCCAACUGUCGACUAAGCAGUCUAGUCCAGGCUGCAGUGUGCAGCAACUGAAAUGGGGGGCUUGGCCCCGUGCCACCUGUACUAGUCAAAAUUAGCUCAUUGUUGAAUGCAAGUUAGUCGCCAAGUGGGCGCUUUGGCAGCGGCUCGCUGGCCGGCUCUCCGUGCAGCUUUCCGCGGGGAGCGGUCUCCUGCCACGGCGGCUGCUGGGGCUCAGCUCGCUAGCUGACGUUACUCACAGCGGCGGCGGCAGCAGCAAUUUCAGAGCCGCCUGCUGGGUCGCUGGCUGUGCGGGUCUGCAGUCUGAAACUUCGGGUGAAAGAGGACAACGAGAGGCUUCUUCUGGCAGCAGUGUCCUCUUCCCUAAUCCACUGCAGUGCAAGAGCUGUUGUUUGUGCAGACAAUCAUCAUGGAUCAUGGUUCCGGCUUCUGAAUCAAACUAGCAGGAGCCAUGGAGGAUCCCCUGAGGGUUGGCAGCUGGCACCCUGUGCUGACCAGGGUGAGGGGGAGCUGCGGAGAGAAAUCAACAUUCCUUCCGCCUGAUGUGGGAUAGCGAUGGUCUCUCCAUUAACCCUGUAGGAGGGGGCGGGGGGUGGGAUCUCCCUGUGUAAUUUUUUUUUGUUUGUUUGUUUGUUUCCUAAAAUCGUGUAUAUCCUCUUUUUUAUGGUAUGUGGUAAAGAUGAAUUAUGACUCUUGGGGACGAGUUUUUCCCCAGUCUGUGUGAUUUAAUAUGUUAGAAAUGCUUGGGACUCUAAGCCUUGAUGAUAAGUUCAUGUUCUUUUGGAGGAGCCGGAGUAAUGCCAAAUGACACAAAGCACCUUGCGACAGACCUGACAGAUUGGAGCUGUGAAGACCCACACGUCUGCGUUUUUUACAACUUCCACAGGUGGCCCCGUCACUCGGGGCCGAGAAAACUGAGAAUACUUGCAGCAGCAGCAUGUCAUCCACUUGUCCACUUCCCCACGAAGUAGGAUGGAUCCUUUUUUCAGCGUUUGUACCGUUGCGUUUUGUUUUUAGUUCUUAUGUUGUUUUAUCUCUGUGGACCCACCAAAGACGUUUGACUUCUUCUUCUUCUUACCUGCCCCCCACCAGUUUCUCAGUCUGUCCUAAACAUUACGGGCAAAUUCUAUAAAUAUAUAUAGUGGUAAAAUAUGUUCACAAGGAAAAUACUACUCUCACAGAUUCACACACCUUCUCUCCAUUCUCAGUGCACAUCCCUACAGCACCUGGAUUUCAUCAUAUUACAGUAGUCAGUCCCUCUGAUCCUCCACCUUCAUUUUCUGUUCUAUCCAUGCCUUUCCACACUACAGCAACUGAUCUGUCUCUACAAACUAAACUGCUGAAACAAUCAAUGCUAUACUCUCACACUCUGCAGUAUUUACUGAGGCUAAGAGUCCCCGAUUUCCAUGCAGUUACUAGACGCUUCGUAGUAAGUAGUACAUAGAGUUUUUUUGUUUUCCGUUGUUUUUGUUUUUUAAAACCUGGCUUUGUUUUAAAGUUUUAGCUUCUUUUUGUUACUUUUGCUUUGCCAGUAUAUUAAAGUGUAAUCAUGUGCGUUGUGAUAUAGAAGUAGCUGUAGAAAAUGCAUCGUUUCCUUGUGGUAAGUGAUUGAGAUGCUGCCACGGAUUUGAGACACUGAUGAAUGGUGCUAUUUUGGACUUUAAUCUGCUCCCUGGUAAGGUAGCUAAGAUGGGUUUUUAUUUCAUAUUUUCACGUUCAGAGAUGUGAGAGGUGUUGGUUCUUCGUCGUGUGGUUAUAUCGUAGCUUGGUCUGGAUGGACUAUAUUUUUUCCCCCUCCUUGUUGUUUCUGUGCGGCUUUCUCAUUGGAUUAAAACGACGGACAUUUAGCUAAAGAGCACGAGGGUGUUUUCUUUUGAGGAGAAAAUCUCAUGCAAAAAAAAAAAAAGUAAAAAAAAAAUCAGAGAAAAGUAAAGACAGCGGGAGCAAUCACAAAACUGCAAUCAAACAACGAUGACACAAUUUUCCCUUUAAGGACGAGUUUUGACUGUGCGAUGGGGUAGUUAGUCAUUUUUGGCAAUAGCUGAACAGCCAACCAUCUGUGAGCUCUUCUUCCUCCUUGAUGUAGUGGAGUCAAGGAUCCUCCGCCUCUAGGAAUGUAUUUUGCACAGUUGAUUAGCAAUUAAUUACUUCUAGUACAAUCUAGUACACAGGAAAUGACGAGGUGAAAUCAGAAAAGAUCUGGCAGCAUGCGUAGAUGUUGCUGGUUUGAUUUUCUUUGCCUAGUUCUGAUGGAAGGAGCUGGUUGUGAGUGUGGGAGAGUGAUUUGAUUCCUCUUUGAGGCAUCUUGUAUUUUUUUUUUUCUUGCUUUUAGUGAAUAACGCUUGUUUACCCAGGGAAACAGCAAUGUCUGUUGCUUCUACCUGAGGGUUAUUCUGCCACGCAAGAGGCGUCAGUUAGUUGUAUGACUUGGUCGUCCAAAACCGUGGCGUGUAAGGCCUUAAAAGUAGUUUAUUUGCGUGAAAAUGCAAAUAAUUAUCUUGUAUAGCUAGCAUUGAAGCAGUCAGGGCAAUACCGUUGGCACUUACAGACGCUAUGGGUGCUUCCCAGUUGCAUACUUAUUGCUACAACUAACUGGUAUCCGAACCAGUGAAGUAUGCAGCAUAGAUAAAAAACUCUAGAAGUUUAGUAUACUCAAAAAACGUUAAAUACAGCUGGAGAACUUCUUGUUAGUACAGAACAGGCUAGUAUGUUAAUAUUUUGUGUACUAUCCUGACAAACGUUAGUGUCUAGUAUGCAAUUGGGACACAGCCUAAAGGCCAUUUUCUGCUGACAUAUUCUGAUGCACACCUCUCUGGAAAUGUAAUGUAAUGUCUACAAGUUGCGCGAUGAAACAUGCGAAUGCAAAAGUAUAAACGUGCACAGCAGCGUAGGGCGCUCGCACAGGCUGCACCACAGACUAGGUUUUAACAGCAACAGAAACGUACGAACACAUGUUGAGUAUAAACAGCAAGGCAAUGCAUUAAAAAAGAGCGCUCUGCACUGAUUGGGCAGUGGAGCCGUGCAUCUAACUGAGAGCCCUGUUUGUUUUGGUGGAAUGACCCCCAUGGAUAGGUUGGUUCAGGGUUACCAAUCUGCUGCAUUACUACUCUUCACCAGCUGGCAGUUACUCAAAGCUUCUUGGGGUCCUACAUGGCCUCGGGCCCGAGACCCUGCCACUCAGUACCCACAAUCCCAUCAUGCUCUUUUAUUUCUCCAAGCUUAAAGAAGUAAUAACAAUGUAGCACUUAUGAAUGAUGAUCUUGUUGACAUUUUCCAACAGAAGAGUGAGUGAGUGAGUUAUAAAAAUAAAAUAAAAAGCUUUAUAUCUCUUAUUUUUAGUAGUUAAGUUCAGUAGCCACGUACUGUCAUGCAGUAUUUUGCAGUUUUGUCUUUGCUUCCAGUUUAACAUUAUAUAUAUAUAUAUAUAUAUAUACUUUUGAACAAUCCUUAUUCAAUGACCAACUUGAAAGCCCACAUUAGUUUCUGUCUUCCAUUUAUUUUCCACUAUAGUGGAGUCCUUCCCAGCUUGCUCUAGAUCUUCCCUAGUGCUGAUGGCCUAUCAACAGCAUGCUUUCCGCUUUUCGUUUUUUUUCCCUCCAUCUUGAUACUAAUUCUAUUUGCGUUUCCUCACAUAGACUAGAUAUGCCAGCUGUGUUGUAAAUAGCGAGUAGCUUAGGCGGGGUCUGAUGAUGUAGUAUGUUGAGAUACUAUGUAAUAACUAUUGGUGUGUUUUAAAAUAAAAGAGUAAGCUUGUGAUUGAUAAUGAUGCACUAUGUAUUGUACAAGUAUUUUUUGGCAAUUUAACCAGUAGUUAAAUAAAUAUGCAAGCUGUCAAA